AACACAUGCAAGUCAGGGGCAGCACAAGGAGCAAUCUGAGGUGGCGACCGGCGCACGGGUGAGUAACACGUAUGCAACCUGCCUGUAAGCGGGGAAUAACCCGUUGAAAGACGGACUAAUACCGCAUAAUACUAAAUUACUGCAUGGUAAUUUAUUUAAACAUUUAUGGCUUACAGAUGGGCAUGCGCAUGAUUAGCUAGUUGGAGAGGUAACGGCUCCCCAAGGCAACGAUCAUUAGGGGUUCUGAGAGGAAGGUCCCCCCACACUGGUACUGAGACACGGACCAGACUCCUACGGGAGGCAGCAGUGAGGAAUAUUGGUCAAUGGACGAGAGUCUGAACCAGCCAAGUCGCGUGCAGGAAGAAUUGUCCUAUGGAUUGUAAACUGCUUUUGCAGGGGAAUAAAGUGCAUCACGUGUGAUGUUUUGUAUGUACUCUGCGAAUAAGGAUCGGCUAACUCCGUGCCAGCCGCGGC
rnacentral:rRNA from 1 species